UGCUAUGGUUGACUAAAUAUGGUCAGGGAAGAGAGAGGCACAAGAGAGCCUGUUUGCCUGGGAGUGCAUGUUUCAAAUGCUUAGCUGCCUAUAAAGCUGUAACAGUUCAGCCUGUGGCCACUGAGGGAAGAAUAUAAGUUAACCUCUGUAGUGACCAUGUGGAAGUCCGACCUUGCUUGCAGACUUGACCUCUGGAUAUGACAAGGUGGGGUCCUGUGUUCACUGAUACUUCCCCUUUACUUCCCCCGGCUCAUGAAAAGAAGCGCUGAUUCAGCAAAAAGAGUGAACAGCCGAUCAAGAAGAGAUGGCUGCUGCUGGCGUGACUCUCUGGGUCAUUCUCUCUCUCCCUGCUCAUGACACUAAGCUUACAGGUUCUAGAAGCAAACUACAAAAUAAGAAGAAAUUUUCUCUGAAGACUAUGAAGAAACACUAGGCUAAUCUUACCAAUUUCUGAAAUACACUCUGUAAAUUCCCACUGAUUCAAUGGAUCUCUCUCAAAAAGAACCAAACCAGGACAAAGUUCAACAGAUAACUGGUCAACGUUUAGAAGUGUAUAUCCACCAAGAACAAGGAACCAUAAACAGCACUAAUGCCAUGCCUCAGAAAUGAAAUGAUAUUGAAAUGCAGACUGUGCCACAAAAUU